CCCUUAGAUGUCCGGGGCCGCACGCGCGCUACACUGGUGCGUUCAGCGAGUUUAGCACCUUAACAGAUAUGUUUGGGUAAUCUUCUGAAAACGCACCGUGAUGGGGAUCGAUUAUUGUAAUUAUUAAUCGUCAACGAGGAAUUCCUAGUAAGUGUGAAUCAUCAGUUCGCGCUGAUUACGUCCCUGCCCUUUGUACACACCGCCCGUCGCUGCUACCGAUUGAGUGGUCCGGUGAAUUAUUCGGACCGGUGGACUGUGGGGAAACCCGCGGCCUGCUGGGAAGUCUUGUGAACCUUAUCACUUAGAGGAAGCAGAAGUCGUAACA
rnacentral:rRNA from 1 species